rnacentral:rRNA from 1 species
GAUGAACGCUGGCGGCGUGCCUAAUACAUGCAAGUCGAGCGAACAGACGAGGAGCUUGCUCCUCUGACGUUAGCGGCGGACGGGUGAGUAACACGUGGAUAACCUACCUAUAAGACUGGGAUAACUUUGGGAAACCGGAGCUAAUACCGGAUAAUAUAUUGAACCGCAUGGUUCAAUAGUGAAAGACGGUUUUGCUGUCACUUAUAGAUGGAUCCGCGCCGCAUUAGCUAGUUGGUAAGGUAACGGCUUACCAAGGCGACGAUGCGUAACCGACCUGAGAGGGUGAUCGGCCACACUGGAACUGAGACACGGUCCAGACUCCUACGGGAGGCAGCAGUAGGGAAUCUUCCGCAAUGGGCGAAAGCCUGACGGAGCAACGCCGCGUGAGUGAUGAAGGUCUUCGGAUCGUAAAACUCUGUUAUUAGGGAAGAACAAAUGUGUAAGUAACUAUGCACGUCUUGACGGUACCUAAUCAGAAAGCCACGGCUAACUACGUG